rnacentral:rRNA from 1 species
AGAGUUUGAUCCUGGCUCAGGACGAACGCUGGCGGCGUGCUUAACACAUGCAAGUCGAACGGAAAGGCCCUUCGGGGUACUCGAGUGGCGAACGGGUGAGUAACACGUGGGUGAUCUGCCCUGCACUUUGGGAUAAGCCUGGGAAACUGGGUCUAAUACCGAAUAGGACCGCGCGCUUCAUGGUGUGUGGUGGAAAGCUUUUGCGGUGUGGGAUGGGCCCGCGGCCUAUCAGCUUGUUGGUGGGGUAAUGGCCUACCAAGGCGACGACGGGUAGCCGGCCUGAGAGGGUGACCGGCCACACUGGGACUGAGAUACGGCCCAGACUCCUACGGGAGGCAGCAGUGGGGAAUAUUGCACAAUGGGCGCAAGCCUGAUGCUGCGACGCCGCGUGAGGGAUGACGGCCUUCGGGUUGUAAACCUCUUUCACCAGGGACGAAGCGCAAGUGACGGUACCUGGAGAAGAAGCACCGGCCAACUACGUGCCAGCAGCCGCGGUAAUACGUAGGGUGCGAGCGUUGUCCGGAAUUACUGGGCGUAAAGAGCUCGUAGGUGGUUUGUCGCGUUGUUCGUGAAAACUCACAGCUUAACUGUGGGCGUGCGGGCGAUACGGGCAGACUAGAGUACUGCAGGGGAGACUGGAAUUCCUGGUGUAGCGGUGGAAUGCGCAGAUAUCAGGAGGAACACCGGUGGCGAAGGCGGGUCUCUGGGCAGUAACUGACGCUGAGGAGCGAAAGCGUGGGGAGCGAACAGGAUUAGAUACCCUGGUAGUC